UCCUAGCAGCCAGGGCGUGCGUACGUGCGUGAUGUCGUCAGUGCGUGUCUUCGAGAAUGCGAGAUUCAUAAUGACUUGGGGCUGUCUAUAUGCAUGGCUGACUGUCUCCGCCCUACUCCAGACCGCCCCAAAGACUCUGUGGGAUGAACCUGAGUCAGCUGAAUCCCAGCCCCUUCCCUUGGGCCUGCCGUGGCACGGGACAUCAGUGACAGACGGAAGCAGCGGACCAUCAGGGCCACAGGAGGCCCGGGGCGCUUGCGAAGAUGGAGUCAAGACUGUGGAGACUCGUUGGCAUCCCCUGCUGAGCAGCCAGCGGAACCGUACCAUCGCCGUCCACAUUGCUCACAGGGACUAGGAUGACGACGCCUGGCAGGAGCUGCUGGUGGAGAGGCUGGGGAUGACUCCUGCCCAGAUUCAGGCUUUGCUCAGGAAAGGGGAGAAGUUUGGUCGAGGAGUGAUAGCGGGACUCAUUGACAUUGGGGAAACUUUGCAAUGCCCCGAAGACUUAACUCCCGAUGAGGUUGUGGAACUAGAGAAUCAAGCUGUACUGACCAACCUGAAGCAGAAGUACCUGACUGUGAUUUCAAACCCCAGGUGGUUACUGGAGCCCAUACCUAGGAAAGGAGGCAAAGAUGUAUUCCAGGUAGACAUCCCAGAGCACCUGAUCCCUUCGGGGCAUGAAGUGUGACAAGUGUGGGCUCCUGAGAGGAAUGUUCCAGAGAAACCAGCUAAAUCAUGACACCUUCAAUUCACCAUCAUGACGCAGACCUAUGUACUUUAGGUUAAAUCUGAAUUUCCACUGCUUUGGAGAGUCCCACCCACUAAGCACUGUGCAUGUAAACAGGUUUCUUUUCUCAGAUGAAGGAAGUAGGGGGAGGGGCUUUCCUGGUGUGAUGCCUUCUUAGACACACAGGCAAUGUCUCAAGUACUUUGACCUUUGGGUAGAAGGAAAAGCUGCCAGUAAAUGUCUCGGCACUGUUGCUAAUUUUGGUCCUGCUAGUUUCUGGAUUGUGUAAAUAAAUGUGUUGUAGAUGA